ACUCGGGUAGUUUAAUAAGAAUAUAACGUUGAAAGCGUUAAGGUGUCCUCUCCGGGUG
rnacentral:tRNA from 1 species